rnacentral:rRNA from 1 species
CCUACGGGAGACAGUAGUGAGGAAUAUUGGGCAAUGGACGCAAGUCUGAACCAGCCAUGCCGCGUGCAGGAAGACGGCUCUAUGAGUGUUAAACUGCUUUUGUACGAGGGUAAACGCAGAUACGCGUAUCUGUCUGAAAGUAUCGUACGAAUAAGGAUCGGCUAACUCCGGGCCAGCAGCCGCGGUAAUACGGAGGAUUCAAGCGUUAUCCGGAUUGAUUGGGUUUAAAGGGUGCGUAGGCGGUCGGAUAAGUUAGAGGUGAAAUCCCGAGGCUCAACUUCGGAAUUGCCUAAGAUACUGUUCGGCUAGAGUGUAGUAGCGGUAGGCGGAAUGUAUGGUGUAGCGGUGAAAUGCUUAGAGAUCAUACAGAACACCGAUUGCGAAGGCAGCUUACCAAGCUACUUCUGACGUUGAGGCACGAAAGCGUGGGGAGCAAACAGGAUUAGAUACCCUUGUAGUC